UUCAGAAUAGGCUUUAAGUACAGGAAGACCUCAUUACCUAUGGCUGAUCAGUCCUGGACAGAGCCUUCCAAAAGUGAAUCCAUGUAAAAUGAAAUGUUUAGACAGAAGAUCACUCAUGGCCAGAGAUAAGGAUCGAGCAUUGUAAAUCCACCCGCGUAAAUCCAGGAAACUUUACCUCGCAAGCAGGACUCUGGCUUCUGUUGGAGUUGAUCAGCUACCACUGCUGGUGGAGAAGACCGUAUCAGACAUUAAUGAACGAUGUAAAGAAGGAAAAGAAAGUGAACGACCACGUCCUUACCACCCAGGUUAAAAAAUCAGGGAAUUGCCAGGGUCUUAGAAGCGCCACUCCCGUUGGUCCCAGAGCUCUUUGCUCCCCCAGAGGGGGAGCCUCAGGAGCUGUUGCCAACCUGGUCUCCAAACUCGCUGUACCAUUUUGUGUCUCCUCCAGCAAGUGUGAGAGAUCCAGCUGCCCCACAUCGUCACCAAGACUCGGCAUGGUCUGUCUUUUUAAUUUCAGCCGUUCUGGUUUACUGACAGUUUGGAAAUCCUCUUUUGUGAAGUAACCGAUUGUGGGUCUUCUAUAAAAGGAUAUAAGUCAAGAACAGCCAGAUGAAAGAGAUGCUCCAGGGCCAGGUGUGGGGAAAGGGUGCAGAGCUUCCGUGCCCUCUCCGGGCACGCCACUCUCCCAGCACCGCUACGUGUUCACCAACCUCGGAACUGGUGCGGGAUUUUCUGUUCUGGUUCUUUCAUAAUACUCUGAGCAUCUGCAUCUACACCAGAGUGGUGGCCUUCCAAACAGGAUUCACCGUGGAACUGGCGUCCACACACCAAGCAGCUCUUUGCUGGUCAGUUGAGAGCUGUUUAUAGGGCCGUGUCCAGGUGACAAUAGGAUCCAGCAACUCCACACUCAGCUCCUUGCCUGUGAGCAUCUCCCCUUGCCUUGCCCAGGCAGCGUGAUCCUGGAGAAACCAUUUCCAUUUGAUUAUGGAACUACUCUGGGCACCGCCAGCCCCAUUAGAGCGUUUCUCCAACAUCACCCAAGACAUUGGUUGACGGUUGUGCUUAGCAGGAAGGAACAGGUCUAUGCUAUCUUGUCCGGACUGGAAACCUCUAUUUUUUAACCAUCAAUGCCUCUCAGGUCUGACCUCAGACCCAAGCCUCUGUGAACUCUUCCACCAUCAGUGCUACUCUAGUCUGUCCUCGAACGCGGGUUUCUGUCAGUUCACCGCCAGUGCCCGUCUUUUAUAUAUCUUCAACUCCGGCCUCUGCGAGCUCUGCUACCAUCCACGCCCUUCUGGUCUGUAACUCAGAACCACGCCUCUUUCACCUUGACCACCGUCAAUGGCAUAUUGUGUAGAAUCGUGCCACCAGAUAUGGCAGAUGCUAGCCACGUGUAGCUACUGAGCACUUGAAAUGAGGCUAAUGAGACUGAGAAUUGAAUUCUAAAUUUUAUUUAUUUUAAUUAAUUAAAAAUUUAAAAUAGGUGCUCAAUUCAGUUAUUGGAAACCUUUUAAACUAUUUUUGGAACAACUCGUGACUAUUAAUCUACAUUUUCAACUGUAAAUUUUAAGAAAUCUAAAUACAAAUCAAGUAUUUCCGAUGAAAAUUUAGCAUUCAAAUUGAGAUGUAUUGUGAGUGUAAAAUAGACGUCUGAUUUCAUAGACUAAUUACAAGAAAAAGAAUGCCAAAUCCCAUUAAUAAUUUAAAAAAUUGAUUACAUGUUGAAAUGAUAAUGUUUUGGAUAUGUGG
rnacentral:lncRNA from 1 species